GACGAACGCUGGCGGCGUGCUUAACACAUGCAAGUCGAACGAAGUGGCGAACGGGUGAGUAACGCGUAAUCAACCUGCCCUUCAGCGGGGGACAACAGUUGGAAACGACUGCUAAUACCGCAUACUGAAGGAGGGGAUUGCGUCUGAUUAGCUAGGUGGGGGGGUAACGGCCCACCAAGGCGAGGAUCAGUAGGCGGUCUGAGAGUAUGAACGGCCAGAUUGGGACUGAGACACGGCCCAGACUCCUACGGGAGGCAGCAGUGGGGAAUCUUCCGCAAGGGAAGAAAGGCGGACGGAGCAACGCCGCGUGAGGGAUGACGGCCUUCGGGUUGUAAAGCUCUGUUAAUCGGGACGCGGUACCGGAAUAGAAAGCCACGGCUAACUACGUGCCAGCCGCCGCGGUAAUUC
rnacentral:rRNA from 1 species